rnacentral:rRNA from 1 species
GACGAACGCUGGCGGCGUGCCUAAUACAUGCAAGUUGAGCGCUGAAGGUUGGUACUUGUACCGACUGGAUGAGCAGCGAACGGGUGAGUAACGCGUGGGGAAUCUGCCUUUGAGCGGGGGACAACAUUUGGAAACGAAUGCUAAUACCGCAUAAAAACUUUAAACACAAGUUUUAAGUUUGAAAGAUGCAAUUGCAUCACUCAAAGAUGAUCCCUCGUUGUAUUAGCUAGUUGGUGAGGUAAAGGCUCACCAAGGCGAUGAUACAUAGCCGACCUGAGAGGGUGAUCGGCCAACUUGGGACUGAGACAGGGCCCAAACCCCUACGGGAGGCAGCAGUAGGGAAACUUCGGCGAUGGACGGAAGUCUGACCGGGCAACGCCGCGUGAGUGAAGAAGGUUUUCGGAUCGUAAAAAUCUGUUGGUAAAGAAGAACGUUGGUGAGAGUGGAAAGCUCAUCAAGUGACGGUAACUACCCAGAAAGGGACGGCUAACUACGUG